GCGCUUCUCCCGCCGCAACCACUCCCAACCCUGUGGGUUGGGUCGCUUUGCGCAAGUGUCGGAAGCGGAAGUUGUUAAGACGUGGGGGAGUUCUUGGGAGAGAGUCGAGUUUUCCUAGCGCUCGGUGUGUUCGGUCUGCGGCAGCCUGAGCAGCAGGUAAAGCGCAUUUGUGAGACCUCGGCAGCCCUGCUACCCGGCCCAAGCCGGAUCCCGACCCCGUAUCCUAGCCUGAGGGGUGUGGUGCCCGGUGCUCCGACUCCUUCCUAGGGUCCUGGUGGAGGUACCGGGAGUCACUUGUUCCUCCCUUGGAGUGAGGCCCCCUGUCCGGCUACCUCCGCCAUGGGCAACACGAGCAGCGAGCGCGCUGCGCUGGACCGGCAGGGCGGCCACAAGACGCCCCGAGGGGACAGCUCGGGGGGCUCCAAGGAUGGGGACAGGCCCAAGAUCCUGAUGGACAGCCCCGAGGACGCUGACCUCUUCCACUCCGAGGAAAUCAAGGCUCCGGAGAAGGAGGAGUUCCUGGCCUGGCAGCACGAUCUGGAAGUGAACGACAAAGCUCCUGCCCAGGCUCGGCCAACUGUGUUUCGAUGGACGGGGGGCGGAAAGGAAGUUUACUUAUCUGGGUCCUUCAACAAUUGGAGUAAACUUCCCCUCACGAGAAGCCACAAUAACUUUGUAGCCAUCCUGGACCUGCCGGAAGGAGAGCAUCAGUACAAGUUCUUCGUGGAUGGUCAGUGGACACACGACCCUUCUGAGCCGAUAGUGACCAGCCAGCUUGGCACAGUAAACAACAUCAUUCAAGUGAAGAAAACUGACUUUGAAGUAUUUGAUGCUUUAAUGGUGGAUUCCCAAAAGUGCUCCGACGUGUCUGAGCUGUCCAGUUCCCCACCAGGACCCUACCAUCAGGAGCCUUACGUCUGGAAACCAGAGGAGCGGUUUAAAGCACCACCCAUCCUCCCGCCACAUCUUCUCCAGGUCAUCCUGAACAAGGACACAGGGAUUUCUUGUGAUCCAGCUUUGCUCCCUGAGCCCAACCACGUCAUGCUGAACCACCUCUAUGCACUUUCCAUUAAGGUUUCAAUAAAGCUUUGUAAAGAUAACAGACGUGCGCUUGGAGGAAGGUUUGAUUUCGUGCAGUCAUUUGGAGAAGAGACUGGAGCUCUCCCCGAGCUUUAUUCAGUGCAGUGCUUUUCCGUCUUUUUCCCGCCUUGGCACACAUUGAAAAUGGUACCAUCCUUGUGGCACUCUGGGCAACACAAAAGGAAGUCCCCCGUGGUCCAGAAGACUGCUAACAGACCUAGGUGAAAGUCUCUAUACCCAAGAAGCUAAAAGUAAUGGAGAUUAUUUCAUGGAUAUGGAACAGGAGACCCUGUUUGGUCCAAAUCACAGGAGCAAAGCCACACUGAGGUGUCCUAUGACCCAGGAAAGCCUAGACUGGGGUGUGCAGGAGCACGAGGCCUCGCCUUCCUGCCGUGAGCCGAGCUUGCGGAACUCACCGCAGAGUCCCCAACACUACGUAAGUACUUCUGUUAUGCACCCCAUUUUAUCCAUAAAUCAGAGGAAAUAAGGAAAAGCAUUUAAACGGCUUUUCCCCCCUCCUUGUAGCAGCAGGGGUGCCAACAGCGAACUGCGGAUGGCAGCAGGACUACUGUUACGCACCCCAUUUUAUCCAUAAAUCAGAGGAGAUAAGGAAAAGCAUUUAAACGGCUUUUCCCCCCUCCCUGUAGCGGCAGGGGUGCCAACAGUGAGCUGCGGAUGGCAGCAGGAGAGUGCAAUCCAGAAAACUGGCCCCUGGAACCGGCUGGCCUGCUGAGGAGACACCAUGCUCUGGAGCCUCCCUGUGCACUUGGGGGGCCCCUAGUCUUCCGCACAUCCCUCCAUCUUCUCAGUUGCUAACCUAAAAAUUACAAGGUAAUAAAUACAUGCACGUGAUUUAAAAAUUUUGAAAGGUUUGGAGUUCUUCUAGAAGGCAACCACUGUUACCAGUUCGGUGUAGCCUUCCAGAGAAACUGUUGAUGUAUAUGUGUUUGAAAAAGUAAGGCAUCAAACCUUUUGAAUAGCAUGUUAUCAUAUCACCUGUGUUUAAGAAGGGUGACUACACAUCUGUAUUUGUUUGUAUGCAGAGAGGCUCUCUAGAAACUGCGCGCUGGCUGCCUCCGGAAAGGGAACGCCAUAGCCCUGGCAGCUGUUACGGUUUGAGGCGCACACAUUAUCCAUCUGUGCAGCAGGAAGCCCCUUCUUAAGACGUUCUCUUCCUAAGCUUAAGUCCCGCAGACUCCGAAGUACAGUAGCGGCGCCCCUUCCCUACAACAGUGGCCCCUCGGGGAUGAGGAGGGCACCUCACUCACCUUGUUGACCUGGGACAGCGGGGUCCUCACGGCUCCCACGGGCAGCCGGCCCCUGCUGCCGUCCUCAAACAGCCUCCCAGGGGAGCGCUCCCUGCGCGUGCUGAGCAUCCGGCCGGGGGACUUCUCCCGCUCCAGGGGGCGGCCCGGAGACUUGUCCCUGCGCAGCUCUGUCCGCCCCUCGCGGUAGCGGUGGGGCGUGCCGGGCUCUCGCGGGUGGCUGGGGCCUUCAGGGGGCGCCGGGCUGGAGGCCACGCGCUUAGUGAUGUGCUCGUUGUACGUCGGCGGGCCUCGCUUGUUGGGGCUGCGAUAAUGGGAGAGGAAGGUGGGGAGCUGAGCCGUCACAACCCAACGGGGCAGCUUCCUCCUCCUCUGAGCCACCCUGUGCCCCCAUCUCACCACGCGUUAUUAGAAGAAGACCCCACCGGGAAUUCUUCGAGACGCUUAUAUCGACAGUGAAGCCAGGGAAAGAAGGCAGCGGUGACAGCAGAGGGGAAUCAGGCUGCCCGGUCUCGACACAGGCUUUCUGCUGAGCGCCCACAGCGUGUCGGGCCCUGUGCUAAGCUCUUCAGGUACCUUAACUCGCCAGAUCACCCUAACAGCAGCUCUGCAAGCUAGGAACGGCCGUGACCCCCGUCGUACAGACAAGCAGCUGGAGACACAGAGAGGCUGCGAUCCCAGUGCAGGUCAGUGCGACGUCGUACUCCCCAUGUUCUAACCCCGCUGACCCUAGUAUUUUCCAGAGCCUAGAGGACGCAGAAGGAAGUCUUCCGUGAGGGGUUAAGCCUGUACUCAUCGCUGUCAAGCUGCCAAAGCUGCCCCACUCCUGGGCCUUUGUUGGGUCACCUCUCCUUCCAAGUGUCUUUCCAGGAGUCUUUGGGGCAUCCGACACCGGAGGUGUAGGGAUCGGGCCUGAUAUAAUUAGGAGACUGAGGAGGGCAGACGAAAACAGUAGAGCUGGCUCAGAAAAUGUCUGAACAAUUUGUAUGACCACUCUAACCCUCCACCCUGGGUAUGUCAGAUGAAGAUCUGACCAGACACGGCCCUAACCACCUCUCUGAAGCAGCAAGAUCCAGAAACACGGACUGACAGCCUUCGGCGUCGGUUCCUUCCCACCCCUGACGAGCAGCCAAGCUCAAAAUGUGGAAAUUCCAACAACCCACGCUCAGAAAGCCAGAACUUUCUUGUGUGUGCAGCAGUAAAAUUUGAGAUAAACCUUGAUUUCAAGAUGUCGAAAUCUGAGCUAUCUUCAUCUCUUGUCCUGUGGCUUUGUGAUAUAGAAGACAAUAAAAGAAAUUUCCAGUAAGAGUAUCUGAUUUGUAAUGGAAGAGAAAUUAUAAAGCAUGUCAGGGGCCCAUCGUAAAGCAAGCUCACUGCCCAGAGGAAGAAAAGUGGCUCAAGGAAGGCCAUUCGAGAAGUCAGCCUAGGUUGAUGGGCUAAAGGAAGACACUCGUCAUUCUGGGCGGAGCAGGCCAUUUUCCAUCUCCAAAUCCCUUAAUAACCAAUGCUCUACUUGCAAAAAGAGUUACAUUUCCUGCUCUGCUAAACAGACCUGGGGGCAGUGCAGCCUGCAGUGAAUCACAUUCUCCCAAGCUGGCCUUCUCCAUUCUGGACCUGUCCAAAGCAGACAGCAGCAAAAAGACGGUUUUAUAAGCCGAGAGGCAACUAAAGGAAACUGCUGGUUCUCCAGACAUGCCCGGCAGCAGCAGGAACAGCAGCAGCAUUAUUUCUGCCCCUCGUUCACAGGAACUAGAACCAUUUUCCACGACAGAGGAAGUUAACUCCUUACAGAGACACCAUAUCAUCUCAAAAGGAAGGUGCCUGGCCAUCUAACUAACUAACUAGUGAGGCAGUGGAGAAAAGAAGAAAAAUCUAAUUACAGUACUUGGGUUGGCUCUUGGCAUGAAUGACUUGGAAACUAAAUAAAAUCUAGACAUUGUCAGGAGAGGACUACAGCCCUUUGAGCAGUCUCUCCUGAGGCACGAUCAAGCCACAAAGAGUGAGAAGCAGCUGCUUAUUCAGCACUUCUGGUUUUCCAGCAAGUUCCUGGGACUAAAAUCACACUGACCAAACAUUUCUGACCAACAGUUACAUUUCAACAAAAGAAACAGACACUAGUCGUCAGGACAUAGUCUCAGAACAUUAAAUUGACGACUCUCUUUCUUUUCUAAGAUCUAAGCAGCAUUUCAUAACAUUAAAGGUGGUUCCUCCACCAAACUGAGUCCCUUGAGAAUAAAAACCAUCUUGUCUUCAGCUGUGUAGCCCCAGACAUUGUGUCUGGCACAUGGUAGGGGGUCCACAUAACUCUCUAUAAUAGGGUAGACAUGUGGGGUUUGUAAACCAGCCCACAAAAUUAAAACCCUAGGUCAAUUCCCCUGGGUUAAAUAAGCUUAUCUCCUUUGUGGACCAGGAUCUUAAAAUUACACAUCUCAAACCUACACAUCGAACCGAAUCUGGCUCCGAGCCCUGGGUGUCAAGACAAAGCCAGUUCCACUUCCACACACUGCUGGUGGGAUAACUAAAGGGUACAGCCCCUAAGGAGGAAAACUCACCAACAUCUAUCAAAACUACCAAUGCCCAUCAAUUUCUUUUCUAGGAAUUCAUCCUCCAGGUAGAUUCCUAAGCAUGCAAAAUGAAUGUACAAAGUCAUUUACUACAGCAACAGACUGGAAACAACCCAAACAUCCAGUGAUAAAGGAGCAGUUAAAUAAGGUACAGGCAGGUGAACGAAUGCUAUGCAGGUGUAAAAAAAAAGAAUGAAGAAAUACUUCGGAUACUGACAUGGAGCAAUCUCUCUCUAAGACACAGAAGAGUGUGCACAGUAUGCUAUCGCCUGUAUUGAGAAGGGGAAGAGCACUUCCAGAAUGGCCGAGCAAGGACUCCCGAAAACCUGUUUCUCCAUAGAAACAACAAGAACACUGGCAAAAUUGUCAAAAUCAACUUUUUGGAACUCUGGAAAUUAACCAAAGUCUUGCAACAAUUCAGAGAGUGUUUAUGCAAGAAAAUGUGCAAUAUUCACCACCCCUGUCUCCCCAGAUCUGCAGUAGUUUUGAAAGCAACAGCCUUGUAACCAGCUGUGAAAACCAGCACCCUGGUGACCACUGGAGGGAGUACAUUAGGACUGGAGCUUCCCAAAAGCCCCAGCCUUGGAAAACUGUCACUAUCUGACUUAUCUGGCUCCUCCCUGGAAAAAGACUAUCCUCAGGGCUUGUUUUUAAUUGAGCUGAUUCAGGUCUUCCUCUCUAGAAAUGCCCUAUCUGUAGACGUUUACCAAAAAAAAAAAAAAACAAAAACAA